rnacentral:rRNA from 1 species
UACGUAGGGUGCGAGCGUUGUCCGGAAUUACUGGGCGUAAAGAGCUCGUAGGUGGUUUGUUGCGUCGGCUGUGAAAACCUGAGGCUCAACCUCAGGCCUGCAGUCGAUACGAGCAGACUAGAGUGUUGCAGGGGAGACUGGAAUUCCUGGUGUAGCGGUGAAAUGCGCAGAUAUCAGGAGGAACACCGGUGGCGAAGGCGGGUCUCUGGGCAACAACUGACGCUGAGGAGCGAAAGCGUGGGGAGCGAACAGG